UCAAUGGCUGAGGUGAGGCAC
rnacentral:miRNA from 1 species